rnacentral:lncRNA from 1 species
UUUGUUUUUUAAUCUAAAAAUCCCAUAAAUUUUACCUAAAUAAUUAUAUUAUAUAUAUGUAAGUUGCCCUAUCUCAUGAUAGACCUCCAAGCUAUCUCUUUUCCAAGAAGCUAAUGAGGGCGUGCAUCCCUUUCAAAGAUAUCUUGAAAAGCUCUCAAAAUGAAGUACAUAUCCUAAAUCACCAUUUCUAUGUUCUCCUUUUACUUGGUUUUUUUUUUUCUUAUUUUUUGGAAG